GCCUCCCAGCUAGCUUAACAACCAAACAACCAACACAACAUUACCACACUUUAAACAACAAAAACAGACCAAACUAAAACAUUCUACCACUCAAGUAUGUGAGACAGAAAGAGCCCAGUCAAAGCAAUACGAAAGUACCGCAAGGGAACGCUGAAAGAGAAAUGAAAAAAUCACUAACGCACAAAAAAGUAGAGCUUAGCCCUCGUACCUUUUGCAUCAUGAUUUAGCUAGUCCCCCUGGGCAAAGCGCACUUUAGUCCAAACCCCCGAAACUAAGCGAGCUACCUCGAGACCGUCUAUUAAUUAGGACUAACCCGUCUCUGUGGCAAAAGAGUGGGGAGAUCUCCAGGUAGGGGUGACAGACCUACCGAGCUUAGUGAUAGCUGGUUGCCUAAGAAAUGAAUAAAAGUCCAGCCUCAUACUCCUUAUUUCACAAACAAAGACCAAAAGAAACAUAUGAGAGUUAAUCAAAGGGGGUACAGCCCCUUCGAUACAGGAAACAACCUCACACAGGAGGUUAAAGAUUAUAACAAACAAGAUAAACCACCCUAGUGGGCCUAAAAGCAGCCAUCUAGAUAGAAAGCGUUAAAGCUCAAGCGGAUCAAAAACCUAUUAUUCCAACACCCUAAUCUAAAACCCCUAAUAUUAUUAGGCCCCUCCAUGCGCACAUGGAAGAAAUACUGCUAAAAUGAGUAAUAAGAAGGAAACCCCCUUCUCCUGAUCCACAUGUAAGAUAGCUUGGACUACCCACUACCAAUUACCAGACCCAAUCAAAGAGGGCAACGUGGUCACACUAAAUACCAAGAAGCACCCACACAACCAAACUGUUAACCCCACACAGGAGGAUCCUCAAGGAAAGACCAAAAGAAAAGGAAGGAACUCGGCAAACACAAGCCCCGCCUGUUUACCAAAAACAUCGCCUCCUGCAAACACCACUGUAUAGGAGGUCUUACCUGCCCAGUGAUAUAUUUAAACGGCCGCGGUAUCUUGACCGUGCGAAGGUAGCGCAAUCACUUGUCUUUUAAAUGAAGACCUGUAUGAAUGGUAGAACGAAGGCUUAACUGUCUCCCCUUUCAAGUCAAUGAAAUUAAUCUGCCCGUGCAGGAAGCGGGCACACACAUAUAAGACGAGAAGACCCUUUGGAGCUUAAGACGCACGACCAACUACGUUAAAACACCAAGUAAGGCCUGGUCCCAGUCUUCAGUUGGGGCGACUACGGGAAAAAAUAAAACUCCCACGUGGAUUGGGGAACCCCCUAAAACCAAGAAAGACACUUCUAAGAAGCAGAACCUCUGACCAAAUAGAUCCGGCACACAGCCGACCAACGAACCAAGUUACCCUAGGGAUAACAGCGCAAUCCCCUUUCAGAGCCCAUAUCGACAAGGGGGUUUACGACCUCGAUGUUGGAUCAGGACAUCCUAAUGGUGCAGCCGCUAUUAAGGGUUCGUUUGUUCAACGAUUAAAGUCCUACGUGAUCUGAGUUCAGACCGGAGCAAUCCAGGUCAGUUUCUAUCUAUAACGUCCACCCUCCUAGUACGAAAGGACUGGAGAAUGGGGGCCCAUGUUACAAACAAGCCCCACCCCAACUUACUGACAACAACUUAAAUAAGCAAAGAGGGACAUAAGAUACGAUCUAGAUUAGAUU
rnacentral:rRNA from 1 species